rnacentral:rRNA from 1 species
GAUGAACGCUGGCGGCGUGCCUAAUACAUGCAAGUCGAGCGAACAGAUGAGGAGCUUGCUCCUCUGACGUUAGCGGCGGACGGGUGAGUAACACGUGGAUAACCUACCUAUAAGACUGGGAUAACUUCGGGAAACCGGAGCUAAUACCGGAUAAUAUAUUGAACCGCAUGGUUCAAUAGUGAAAGACGGUUUUGCUGUCACUUAUAGAUGGAUCCGCGCCGCAUUAGCUAGUUGGUAAGGUAACGGCUUACCAAGGCAACGAUGCGUAGCCGACCUGAGAGGGUGAUCGGCCACACUGGAACUGAGACACGGCCCAGACUCCUACGGGAGGCAGCAGUAGGGAAUCUUCCGCAAUGGGCGAAAGCCUGACGGAGCAACGCCGCGUGAGUGAUGAAGGUCUUCGGAUCGUAAAACUCUGUUAUUAGGGAAGAACAAAUGUGUAAGUAACUAUGCACGUCUUGACGGUACCUAAUCAGAAAGCCACGGCUAACUACGUG